UUUUGUUUUGUUUUUUUUGCAGAUCUCGUUAAUGACUCACCUAAGAUGGGUUCUCAUGUCUGCCUUUGGAUUCAAUUUGUUGAGGCCCAUGGAAAACCUCUCUGUGUUUGUUUCCAAAGAGAGAGUAGAUAAGGCGAACAAUGCCUUCUAACUUCGCAGGGCCUCUAGAAGAACCAGUGGCUUAGCUUGUCCCUGUUGUGGCCUUGCAGGAUUCCCGGCAGUGCUGGGAUCCUCCGCUACCUGACAAACGCCGUGGGAUCCCAGUAGUCACACGAAUCCAGUGAUUCUUGAAGUUGGAGCGGAUUCAAGGGACCUGGGAGAGCCCGGCGUAGCUUUGAGAAGCUUCCUGAGGAUCCAGGAGGUGAAUGAAGCCAUAACAGAUGGGUGUAUCUGGAGAGGCAGAGGGGAGAGGGAGAGUCCUCCGGGCCGUGAGAAACGACUGGGCACGUCUUCAAAGUGGGAAGACCCAAGGAUCGAUAGCUGGAAGUUGAAGGGCAGGCUUCAUCCUGAUUUGGGACUUGCUUCUAAUCACCUGCACCGUCUGGAGUAUCCUGGAAGGGAGGGAUCAUCCACCGCUGUGCAGGAGAAGGAGCCCUGAGACCCUGAGAUGUCAUAUGACUCACUCAAGGUCAUCCCACCGUGACAGAGAUGAGAUUUGAUGUCCUGCCUUUGGAAGUACCUGGUCUAACCACUUGAUCAUUCUGGAAGAGAGCCUGAGUCAAAGAGGAUGUCAGAAGUGAUGCUAAGUCAGUAAAGACCAGUGAAACUUCUGGAGCCCUGAGCCACCAUGUGAGAAGAGAGAAGAAUCACUAGCCUGAGGCCACCAUGUUGUAAGGAAGCUCAAACCACGUGGAGUGGCCAUGUCUAGGGACCAGUUCCUGCUGAGACCAGUUUUCCCAGCAGAGGCCCCACCCAACCUCUGUCUAUACCCCCAGCCCACAGAAACUGGGGGCAGAGUAAAACUGUUC